rnacentral:tRNA from 1 species
GCCGACGUAGUUCAGUGGCAGAACGGUUCUCUUGUAAAGUUCAGACGGCGGUUCGAUUCCAGCCCGUCGGCACCA